CCCCUGCUCCUCACAGCGGUGGCGGCGCGGCCGCCGGAGCCGGCCCCCCUGUCCCCGGCUCAGGCCAUCAGAGCCCCUCGGGCCCCGCUUCCCCUUCCCGCCGGGCUCAGUCCUGGCCCCGACGUCUCCGGGCGCCCCCUCGGUGCCCGCCGCUCCCCGUCGGCCCGGCGGCCGCCGCUUAAUGCCUGAGGAGGAUUUAACGGGGGAGGGUCGGGCCACAGCGAGGGCUCGACCGGGGUGGGGGGGCUGAGCCGGAGAAAGUUACCGAGGUACUGGUUAUCAUGUGUGAGGGCUGAUUCAUGCCUACAUGGUAAACUGAUCUCUCUUGGCUCAGGAGAAAAUCAUGCCUGAACAGAAAGGUUCCUGCUGAAGUACCUGACAACAUCACUGAUGGUGAAGAGCUAAACUCCAAAAAACAGUUUUACAGAUGGAAAGCUCAUUCUGCGACAAACGCUGAUGAUGUCUCUACAUGUGGGAAGAAGUGGUGAAAAUACCAGAAAAAUUUGCCUUUCAGACUGGCCCUUCUGCUUCCAACUUUGAAACUCCUGGUUGUGUGCAGUACUGUGGCACAGUAACAGCUUCAGUCAUAGCUGCAACCCACAGAACAAUACACCAUGAGAGGAAUAACACAAUUACUUGUGACAACUAGAAAAUCAUCAGCAAGCAAUUAAUCCAGAUUGAAACCCUCUGAAAACUGAAUGAAACCCAUUGCUUCUUUAACUGGAGCAUGUUGUACUCCAUUACAGGUAUUUAAUAGAUUUAUGAAUUAAAUACAAAAUGCUAUCACGAA